CUGGUUUCUCUUCAGAUCGUAUAAAUCUUUCGCCUUUUACUAAAGAUUUCCGUGGAGAGGAACCCAAUUUUUUGAGGUCCUGCCUGUGCAGGACU